UACGGGGGGGCAAGGCGUUGUUCGGAAUUACUGGGCGUAAAGGGCUCGUAGGCGGCCAACUAAGUCGGAUGUGAAAUCCCCAGGCUCAACUUGGGAACUGCAUCCGAUACUGGAUGGCUUGAAUUCGGGAGAGGGAUGCAGAAUUCCAGGUGUAGCGGUGAAUGCGUAGAUAUUAGGAAGAACACCGGUGGCGAAGGCGGCCCACUGGAUCGGUACUGACGCUGGAGGUGCGAAAGCAUGGGAGCGAACAGG
rnacentral:rRNA from 1 species